rnacentral:rRNA from 1 species
CCUACGGGUGGCAGCAGUGGGGAAUAUUGGACAAUGGGGGGAACCCUGAUCCAGCGACGCCGCGUGAGUGAAGAAGUAUUUCGGUAUGUAAAGCUCUAUCAGCAGGGAAGAAAGAAAUGACGGUACCUGACUAAGAAGCCCCGGCUAACUACGUGCCAGCAGCCGCGGUAAUACGUAGGGGGCAAGCGUUAUCCGGAUUUACUGGGUGUAAAGGGAGCGUAGACGGCGAUGCAAGCCUGAAGGGAAAGGCGGGGGCCCAACCCCCGGACUGCUUUGGAAACUGGAUGGCUGGAGUGCGGGAGAGGUAAGUGGAAGUCCUAGUGUAGCGGUGAAAUGCGUAGAUAUUAGGAGGAACACCAGUGGCGAAGGCGGCUUACUGGACUGUAACUGACGUUGAGGCUCGAAAGCGUGGGGAGCAAACAGGAUUAGAUACCCGUGUAGUC